CCUACGGGUGGCAGCAGUGAGGAAUAUUGGUCAAUGGACGAGAGUCUGAACCAGCCAAGUAGCGUGAAGGAUGACUGCCCUAUGGGUUGUAAACUUCUUUUAUAUGGGAAUAAAAUGUUCCACGUGUGGGAUUUUGUAUGUACCCUAUGAAUAAGGAUCGGCUAACUCCGUGCCAGCAGCCGCGGUAAUACGGAGGAUCCGAGCGUUAUCCGGAUUUAUUGGGUUUAAAGGGAGCGUAGGUGGAUUGUUAAGUCAGUUGUGAAAGUUUGCGGCUCAACCGUAAAAUUGCAGUUGAAACUGGCAGUCUUGAGUACAGUAGAGGUGGGCGGAAUUCGUGGUGUAGCGGUGAAAUGCUUAGAUAUCACGAAGAACUCCGAUUGCGAAGGCAGUUCACUGGACUGCAACUGACACUGAGGCCCGAAAGUGUGGGUAUCAAACAGGAUUAGAUACCCUAGUAGUC
rnacentral:rRNA from 1 species